AAUCAAACCGGGAGAUAGCUGGUUCUCCCCGAAAGCUAUUUAGGUAGCGCCUCGUGAAUUCAUCUCCGGGGGUAGAGCACUGUUUCGGCAAGGGGGUCAUCCCGACUUACCAACCCGAUGCAAACUGCGAAUACCGGAGAAUGUUAUCACGGGAGACACACGGCGGGUGCUAACGUCCGUCGUGAAGAGGGAAACAACCCAGACCGCCAGCUAAGGUCCCAAAGUCAUGGUUAAGUGGGAAACGAUGUGGGAAGGCCCAGACAGCCAGGAUGUUGGCUUAGAAGCAGCCAUCAUUUAAAGAAAGCGUAAUAGCUCACUGGUCGAGUCGGCCUGCGCGGAAGAUGUAACGGGGCUAAACCAUGCACCGAAGCUGCGGCAGCGACGCUUAUGCGUUGUUGGGUA
rnacentral:rRNA from 1 species